UACGUAGGUGGCAAGCGUUGUCCGGAUUCACUGGGUGUAAAGGGUGCGCAGGCGGAUUGGCAAGUCAGAGGUGAAAUCUCACGGCUUAACCGUGAAACUGCCUUUGAUACUGCUAAUCUUGAGUUAGGGAGAGGUUGAUGGAAUUCCAGGUGUAGCGGUGAAAUGCGUAGAUAUCUGGAGGAACACCAGCGGCGAAGGCGGCGUCCUGGACUGGUACUGACGCUCAGGAGCGAAAGCGUGGGGAGCGAUCCGG
rnacentral:rRNA from 1 species